CCCGGGCCUUGUACACACCGCCCGUCACACCAUGGGAGUCAAUUGCUCCAGAAGUCGGCAAACCGCAAGGCCGCCGCCCAAGGAGUGAUUCGGUAACUCGGGGUG
rnacentral:rRNA from 1 species